rnacentral:rRNA from 1 species
AUACGGAGGGUGCAAGCGUUACUCGGAAUCACUGGGCGUAAAGCGCGCGCAGGCGGCCAUUUAAGUUGGAUGUGAAAGCCUACGGCUCAACCGUAGAACUGCAUCCAAAACUAUUUGGCUAGAGUGUGGGAGAGGAAGAUGGAAUUAGUUGUGUAGGGGUAAAAUCCGUAGAGAUAACUAGGAAUACCAAAAGCGAAGGCAAUCUUCUGGAACAUUACUGACGCUGAGGCGCGAAAGCGUGGGGAGCAAACAGGAUUAGAUACCCCAGUAGUCC